GGGUUGUGAGGUUAAGCGACUAAGCGUACACGGUGGAUGCCCUGGCAGUCAGAGGCGAUGAAGGACGUGCUAAUCUGCGAUAAGCGUCGGUAAGGUGAUAUGAACCGUUAUAACCGGCGAUUUCCGAAUGGGGAAACCCAGUGUGAUUCGUCACACUAUCAUUAACUGAAUCCAUAGGUUAAUGAGGCGAACCGGGGGAACUGAAACAUCUAAGUACCCCGAGGAAAAGAAAUCAACCGAGAUUCCCCCAGUAGCGGCGAGCGAACGGGGAGCAGCCCAGAGCCUGAAUCAGUGUGUGUGUUAGUGGAAGCGUCUGGAAAGGCGCGCGAUACAGGGUGACAGCCCCGUACACAAAAAUGCACAUGCUGUGAGCUCGAUGAGUAGGGCGGGACACGUGGUAUCCUGUCUGAAUAUGGGGGGACCAUCCUCCAAGGCUAAAUACUCCUGACUGACCGAUAGUGAACCAGUACCGUGAGGGAAAGGCGAAAAGAACCCCGGCGAGGGGAGUGAAAAAGAACCUGAAACCGUGUACGUACAAGCAGUGGGAGCACGCUUAGGCGUGUGACUGCGUACCUUUUGUAUAAUGGGUCAGCGACUUAUAUUCUGUAGCAAGGUUAACCGAAUAGGGGAGCCGAAGGGAAACCGAGUCUUAACUGGGCGUUAAGUUGCAGGGUAUAGACCCGAAACCCGGUGAUCUAGCCAUGGGCAGGUUGAAGGUUGGGUAACACUAACUGGAGGACCGAACCGACUAAUGUUGAAAAAUUAGCGGAUGACUUGUGGCUGGGGGUGAAAGGCCAAUCAAACCGGGAGAUAGCUGGUUCUCCCCGAAAGCUAUUUAGGUAGCGCCUCGUGAAUUCAUCUCCGGGGGUAGAGCACUGUUUCGGCAAGGGGGUCAUCCCGACUUACCAACCCGAUGCAAACUGCGAAUACCGGAGAAUGUUAUCACGGGAGACACACGGCGGGUGCUAACGUCCGUCGUGAAGAGGGAAACAACCCAGACCGCCAGCUAAGGUCCCAAAGUCAUGGUUAAGUGGGAAACGAUGUGGGAAGGCCCAGACAGCCAGGAUGUUGGCUUAGAAGCAGCCAUCAUUUAAAGAAAGCGUAAUAGCUCACUGGUCGAGUCGGCCUGCGCGGAAGAUGUAACGGGGCUAAACCAUGCACCGAAGCUGCGGCAGCGACGCUUAUGCGUUGUUGGGUAGGGGAGCGUUCUGUAAGCCUGCGAAGGUGUGCUGUGAGGCAUGCUGGAGGUAUCAGAAGUGCGAAUGCUGACAUAAGUAACGAUAAAGCGGGUGAAAAGCCCGCUCGCCGGAAGACCAAGGGUUCCUGUCCAACGUUAAUCGGGGCAGGGUGAGUCGACCCCUAAGGCGAGGCCGAAAGGCGUAGUCGAUGGGAAACAGGUUAAUAUUCCUGUACUUGGUGUUACUGCGAAGGGGGGACGGAGAAGGCUAUGUUGGCCGGGCGACGGUUGUCCCGGUUUAAGCGUGUAGGCUGGUUUUCCAGGCAAAUCCGGAAAAUCAAGGCUGAGGCGUGAUGACGAGGCACUACGGUGCUGAAGCAACAAAUGCCCUGCUUCCAGGAAAAGCCUCUAAGCAUCAGGUAACAUCAAAUCGUACCCCAAACCGACACAGGUGGUCAGGUAGAGAAUACCAAGGCGCUUGAGAGAACUCGGGUGAAGGAACUAGGCAAAAUGGUGCCGUAACUUCGGGAGAAGGCACGCUGAUAUGUAGGUGAAGUCCCUCGCGGAUGGAGCUGAAAUCAGUCGAAGAUACCAGCUGGCUGCAACUGUUUAUUAAAAACACAGCACUGUGCAAACACGAAAGUGGACGUAUACGGUGUGACGCCUGCCCGGUGCCGGAAGGUUAAUUGAUGGGGUCAGCGCAAGCGAAGCUCUUGAUCGAAGCCCCGGUAAACGGCGGCCGUAACUAUAACGGUCCUAAGGUAGCGAAAUUCCUUGUCGGGUAAGUUCCGACCUGCACGAAUGGCGUAAUGAUGGCCAGGCUGUCUCCACCCGAGACUCAGUGAAAUUGAACUCGCUGUGAAGAUGCAGUGUACCCGCGGCAAGACGGAAAGACCCCGUGAACCUUUACUAUAGCUUGACACUGAACAUUGAGCCUUGAUGUGUAGGAUAGGUGGGAGGCUUUGAAGUGUGGACGCCAGUCUGCAUGGAGCCGACCUUGAAAUACCACCCUUUAAUGUUUGAUGUUCUAACGUGGACCCGUGAUCCGGGUUGCGGACAGUGUCUGGUGGGUAGUUUGACUGGGGCGGUCUCCUCCUAAAGAGUAACGGAGGAGCACGAAGGUUGGCUAAUCCUGGUCGGACAUCAGGAGGUUAGUGCAAUGGCAUAAGCCAGCUUGACUGCGAGCGUGACGGCGCGAGCAGGUGCGAAAGCAGGUCAUAGUGAUCCGGUGGUUCUGAAUGGAAGGGCCAUCGCUCAACGGAUAAAAGGUACUCCGGGGAUAACAGGCUGAUACCGCCCAAGAGUUCAUAUCGACGGCGGUGUUUGGCACCUCGAUGUCGGCUCAUCACAUCCUGGGGCUGAAGUAGGUCCCAAGGGUAUGGCUGUUCGCCAUUUAAAGUGGUACGCGAGCUGGGUUUAGAACGUCGUGAGACAGUUCGGUCCCUAUCUGCCGUGGGCGCUGGAGAACUGAGGGGGGCUGCUCCUAGUACGAGAGGACCGGAGUGGACGCAUCACUGGUGUUCGGGUUGUCAUGCCAAUGGCACUGCCCGGUAGCUAAAUGCGGAAGAGAUAAGUGCUGAAAGCAUCUAAGCACGAAACUUGCCCCGAGAUGAGUUCUCCCUGAC
rnacentral:rRNA from 1 species